UCUACGGGAGGCAGCAGUGGGGAAUAUUUGGCAAUGGGCGCAAGCCUGACCCAGCACCGCCGCGUGAAGGAAGAAGGUUUUCGGGUUGUUAACUUCUUUUGUCAGGGAAGAGUAGAAGACGGUACCUGCCGAAUAAGCCACGGCUCACUACGUGCCAGCAGCCGCGGUAAUUCGUAGGUGGCACGCGUGGUCCGGAUGUACUGGGUGUAAAGGGCGUGUAGCCGGGUUGACAAGGCAGAUGUGAAAUCCUUCGGCUUAAACGCAGAACUGCAUUUGAAACUGUUGAACUUGAGUGCAGAAGAGGAGUGUGGAACUCGAGGUGUAGCGGUGGAAUGCGUAGAUAGAUGGAAGAACACCAGUGGCGAAGGCGGGUUCCUGGACAUUAACUGACGCUGAGGCACGAAGGCCAGGGGAGCGAAAGGGAUUAGAUACCCGGGUAGUC
rnacentral:rRNA from 1 species